GUGCGGCCCCAGGUCCACUGGUCCAUACUCUGACAGAUAAUUAAGAAAGCAGCAGCUUUUUCUAGACGGCUCUUCCUCAUGAUUUGCAUUUUAGCCAGAGGCGACCAGUUAUAAAAAAAACAUGAUGGAAAGAUGGUAAGAAGCCAAUUAGAUGGAUGGAUGGCUGACUGACAGCUCUCUGGUAAUACUACUCCAGAUUUCAGACUACAUAGCCUGGCAGUUUUCUACAAGAACCAACUUUUUUGCAGGCAUAAGAGAUGGAAGAAGAACUUGCCUGAAGUGCUUUUCAAAUAUUUGCCAUGGGGAUAAAUACCUUCCUCACAGAGUUGUUGUGAAGAAAGAACUUGGAUAACCAUAAAGAGCCAGAGAGAUAGUAUAAACUUUUGGAUAGUCUGAUGGAUUUUGGUAUGAGGAAAUAUGGGCUUAAAUUUCACUAAGGUAUUCAUUAGUUAUGUGACCUCAGAUAGUUCUUUUAACCUCUCUUGGCCCCCAAUUCCUCCUCUAUAAAAUGAGAGGGUAGGUCCUAUUUAACUGUGAUCCUUUUAUGUAAUGUGAGUUAUUACUAUAUUAAAGAAAAUAUCAUUGCAGAUACAUCCUGA